rfam:Microgenomates (Beckwithbacteria) bacterium GW2011_GWA2_43_10 TV54_C0015, whole genome shotgun sequence.
GAGUUUGAUCCUGGCUCAGGAUGAAUGCUGGUGGCGUGCCUUAGGCAUGCAAGUCGAGCGAACCGACGCAAGUCGGUUAGCGGCGGACGGGUGAGUAAUGCGUAGGAAUUUACCUCUUGGUGGAGGAUAGCUCAGCGAAAGUUGGGGUAAUCCUGCAUAAGUUCUCCGGAAGAAAGGCCGUAACUGGCCGCCGAGAGAGAAGCCUGCGUCCUAUCAGCUUGUUGGUGAGGUAAUGGCCCACCAAGGCGAUGACGGGUAGGGGGCGUGAGAGCGUGAUCCCCCACAAGGUAACUGAGACACGGUGCCUACGUCUACGGACGGCAGCAACUAGGAAUAUUCGGCAAUGGGCGAAAGCCUGACCGAGCGACGCCGCGUGCGGGAUGAAGGCCUUCGGGUUGUAAACCGCUGUGGAGAGGGAAAAUUAUGAUUGUACCUCUCUAGAAAGCACCUGCUAACUACGUGCCAGAAGCCUCGGUGAAACGUAGGGUGCAAGCAUUAUCCGGAUUUAUUGGGCGUAAAGAGUGUCGUAGGCGGUUUUGUAAGUGAUUGGUGAAAGCCUCUGGCUCAACCAGAGAACUGCCGGUCAUACUGCAAGACUAGAGUGAUUUCGGGAAGGCUGGAAUUCUCGGUGUAGGGGUGAAAUCCGUUGAUAUCGAGAAGAACACCAAGGGCGAAGGCAGGCCUUUAGAAAUCUACUGACGCUGAUGAACGAAAGCUUGGGGAGCAAAAGGGAUUGUAAUUGGUCCCAUCCCGCAGUGAUGCGGGAUUAAAAACCAACUAUAUCGGUAAACAUCCUUUAUAAUUUAUUUAUGAGGACAAUACCGAGGGAAGUCCACUUUCAGAAAACUCAGAAAACUCGGUAAAUCAGAGAAAUCAGUGAAUCAGAUAGUCAGAUAAUCUGCUAUCAUUAAGAUAAUGAUAAGAGAUGUAACUGACCUUGAGGUUUACAAAGUUUCUCUGGAUUUAUUGCGAGAGUUAUAUGAAUUGAUCAGAAAAAUACCAAAAUCAGAAUAUGAUACGGUUUUGCAAGUUAAAAGGGCCAGUAAAUCAAUUUCUGCCAAUAUAGCAGAAGGAUUUGCUAAGCGGUCUUCGGAAAAAGAAUUCAAAAGAUUUUUGAAGAUUGCCAUUGGUUCGAGUGAUGAAGUAAUAUCUCAUUUCAGGACAAUAUUUAUUACUGUUCCAAGACUAAAGUCAGAAGUAAAAAUUCUGGCGGAAAAGUAUAAAGUUUUGUCCAAAAGAUUGAAUAAACUUCAUUCCAGCUGGCAUUCCGGUAACUUCUGAUAUUCUGGUAAUCUGAUUUCUCUGAGUAUUCUGGAUUUGUGACCCCGUAGAGACUGUACGUUGGGCUCCGAUAUUAAGUCGGAGUAUGAUACAGUCCGAUCUGUGCAGUAAUGUAUAGAGUUGGGUAGAAAUACCUGGCCGCCUCGGUGAAAACCGCGGGUUAUUAAGUAACAGAAUGUAGAGCCCCCUGUAGUCCAAGCCGUAAACGAUGUUCACUAGCUGGUCCCGCUUUUGCGGAACUGGCGUAAGCUAACGCGUUAAGUGAACCGCCUGGGGAGUACGGCCGCAAGGUUAAAACUCAAAGGAAUUGACGGGGAAACGCACAACCAGGGGAGCAUGUGGUUUAAUUCGAGACAAAGCGAAGAACCUUACCUGGGCUUGACAUCUAUUUGACAGUCCCGUGAAAGCGGGAUCUUCCGCAAGGACAAAUAGACAGCUGCUGCAUGGCUGUCGUCAGCUCGUACCGUGAGGCGUCGGCUUAAGUGCCGCAACGAGCGCAACCCCUGUCCUGUGUUGCAUUUCACAGGAGACUGCCUCGCUACUAGCGGGGAGGAAGGAGGGGACGACGUCAAGUCAGCACGGCGCUUACGCCCAGGGCAACACACAUCCUACAAUGGUGAGGAACAACGGGCAGCGAAACCGCAAGGUCGAGCUAAUCCUAAAAUCCUCCCUCAGUUCAGAUUGUUCUCUGAAAUUCGAGAGCAUGAAGUCGGACUUGGUAGUAAUCGCGGGUCAGCAGACCGCGGUGAAUACGUUCCCGUUUCUUGUACAC